rnacentral:rRNA from 1 species
GAUGAACGCUGGCGGCGUGCCUAAUACAUGCAAGUCGAGCGAACAGACGAGGAGCUUGCUCCUUCGACGUUAGCGGCGGACGGGUGAGUAACACGUAGGUAACCUACCUAUAAGACUGGGAUAACUUCGGGAAACCGGAGCUAAUACCGGAUAAUAUUUCGAACCGCAUGGUUCGAUAGUGAAAGAUGGCUCUGCUAUCACUUAUAGAUGGACCUGCGCCGUAUUAGCUAGUUGGUAAGGUAACGGCUUACCAAGGCAACGAUACGUAGCCGACCUGAGAGGGUGAUCGGCCACACUGGAACUGAGACACGGUCCAGACUCCUACGGGAGGCAGCAGUAGGGAAUCUUCCGCAAUGGGCGAAAGCCUGACGGAGCAACGCCGCGUGAGUGAUGAAGGUCUUCGGAUCGUAAAACUCUGUUAUUAGGGAAGAACAAACGUGUAAGUAACUGUGCACGUCUUGACGGUACCUAAUCAGAAAGCCACGGCUAACUACGUG